GUCGCAACAGACGGGAAGCCAGCCUUUCCUUCCAUCUUCGGUGCAGUGUUUCCUGUACAAGUACCCGUUCCUUCCUCAUUACAUCUGAGGCUUCUCCUCUCUGGGUAUCCCUCUUUGGCUGGAGCUCUGGCUACUGAAGUUGGAGAUUUGAACCCUUGAUUUGACGCCUGAUAAUGGCCUCGUUCCCUAUUUUGACUGUGAUCUGACAGAGUGGCAGAGCAUCCCCAUCCACAGAUGGACCUGGACAAACAGGCUUAGCGAGGUUGCUUCAUGAUUUCCAAUUGAAUACAUCACAGAAAACAACAGGCAGCCAACUGCAUGCAGCCAAUUUUAUAGAGACAGCAGUUGUUUGUGCAGGUACCACGAGAACAACAUGGCGUCACUAUUUACAGCCUCCAAUGACUAAAACCACGACCAGCCUCCUACCUCCCCCUCACACAGGCCUCCGUUGUCAUAGCAACAUGCUAUGGCGCAGCACUUAUUCGGAUUUAACCCAGACGGAAAGUGAAUGCAUUAGCUAUCCUCCUGUUUCAUCCCCUCUCUCUCUCUCCCUCCCUCUCCCGUUCUGCCUCCGUCUCUCUCUCACGUUUUGCUUUUUUAUUUUUUUGACCAUAGUCAACCUGACCUGCAUCAUAACAGUAGUUUGUUUCUGGUUCCUGUUUAGAUGGUUAUUGAAAAUAUUUAUAUCUGUUCCUUUGUUUGCAUGCUGUCCGACUGCAACCCUGUGGACUUAGUAUUUCCGUUAUCAACUCGCAUUAUGCUUUAGUCCUUUCUGCUGAAUUCCCUGGUUUAAUUUUAGCAUUUUCACCUUGAUGUGUCCUUUGCGUAGCUCUUUUUAUGAGACACAUUUCCGGAAAUAAAAUUUGUCCCCAAUCAUCUGGUUACUUGCUACCAACCACUAAGCGGAAAAUUUGAAAUUUGUCAUGAGCGGACAUGUUUUGCCACACCCAAGCAUAUACUUUUUCUUAAAGAUAUAUUUGGGUAUAAUAUAUUUAAAAAUAUUUGGUCAGAAUAAGAGAAAGAUAUGACGCAGAAGAGCUUUAAAUAAAACGACAACGCUUAUUGCCACACAAAACAGUAUAUACAUAAAGGGAAAACAUGCAAAACAUACCUUUUUAAAUCUGAGAAUACGAUGCAGGAAACACAGGAGAAAGAAAACAUCAAACAAUAUCCCUUUUUCACAGCUUUACAUGCACUCUACGCUACAUUGCAACCCGUUUCCCGUAUCAAGGCAUAAUAAGUUAUUUCUUUCUAUGAUGGUCGCUGAAAAGUGGUGCUGUCAAAGAUGAGCUAUUUGACGUCCUUCUUCCUCACCCUCCCUCUCUCUGUGCAGAUGACUCCGGCACGAAUGAGUCCUUCGCCUCAAACCCUAUGCACCCUGGGUCCUGGGCUAGUUCUGCAACUGUCCACUUCCGAGCACCCGCUGCCUACUUCUCAGUCAAGUUUGCUGUCAUGGAGAAAAUCGUCCUGAGGUUCCUUCAACUCAGUGGGUGCUGCCCCUCUUAGUUCAAUUCAUCUGGAAAUCGUCAAUGUUCUCCAAAUCACAUACAGUAUUGAAGAUCAUAUCUCAUUGCAUCUUUGCUGGUGGAUCGCUUCUAAAAUAUAGCCUGACCCUAAACCAUAUUUGGACAAUACAGAUAUAUUUUCAGAAAUUUCACAUAUCAUUAAUGCAUAAAACAUGCACUGAUUUAAAUAAAUGCAUAAUGACAUUAAUCAAUUUAA